UGCUGGUCUAAGCUGCCAAAUCGUCUCAAGAAAAAGAAUAUGAGACCCCCAAAUGCAGACAUCUACAAAUUGAAGAAAGAAGAAACUCUGCUAGAGACGUUUUUCCUCACCAUCACUUCCCCUGAUGACGUGACCUGCUCCUUCACCAUUAGUUCUGCUGUCACCCCUCAUGGAAGCUUUCUUUCACCUUUCAUUAAGCACAGAGAUUUUUUUGACUGA
rnacentral:lncRNA from 1 species